CCUCAUGCAAAAACUUUGUCUGUGGUUUUACGACAAAAUCCUCAUGAUGAUCAUCCGUGCCGUGCAGCGUGGUCUCCCGGUCGUGGAUCAGCGUUUAAGGCCGCAUGUCUAAGCUAGUUUUGUAUAAGAUGCACUCGGGCCUUUCUUCCGUUUAUAUGAAAACAUAAGGAGUCCCCAAGCCUUCGGCAUCAUCAAAUUAUCUCCCAACCAUAAGAAAGGAGAGCAGGGGACAAGUACAAACCACCUAUGAACGGUGAUGGACCUUGUAGCGACUAGAUCUGAUUAAGAUAGGCUAAGCCCUCAAAAGAAAUUGGGAUCUACUGUUAUUGAAGAGAUAGAAGAUAACCUCAGCAAUCGUUUUGACGAGUAGGUCUACUCUAGUAGCCAGAAUGUGGGAGUCAUUACAUCAUAUAGUGUUCAUUUGACCUCUGAGAGGUGACAACUAGAUCUUUGCUGUGGCACAAGCAUUAACUUGCAAUCUAAGACUACAUUGUCUUGCUGGCUGAUUGACAUUCAAGUUGCCAGGGCCAAGAGAACAACAAUCUUGGAUGUUGACUCUAGCAGUGAGUCCAAUUGACUUGCAUAAGAAUGCAAGUUGAAAAAUCAAACAGAAAGCCCGGUUAUUGAAACUUCAAUAGGAAAGUUAAGUUCAAAGGCGUUCCUCCACUCCAGUGGUGGGUUGAAGGCAGGGAUAGCAGAGUGGCAUAAAAGAUGACAGUCUGGAACUGGGAGGAUCACUGCCACUGUCAGUUUGGAGUUUAGUUGCUACAAGGUGCAUUCCCAUUCAUGGCUAGAUACACGACUGUGCGAGGCGAAUACGGCUGCACUCUUCCACCAUGCCAUACACGAGACUGCACCUCAUGGAUUAUUAUGAGAAUGAGUUUGCAGUAAAACCACAGCCAAAGUUUUGAAUGGGGCCUUGCAACAGACUCACGGAAAGCAAGAGGAGUGGCACGAACCAGGGAACGGAGUGGAAGGAGUCAUGGAACAGCAACCAAGCGAGUGAAGCCACCGAUAUCGAACCGGUGAAGUCAAUGAGGAAGGAUGAUGCUUCAUCACAAGAAGGAGCAUGGCUGCCAGAUAAGCGAAACGCAGCAACAAGAAAUGCAGGAGCAGGCUGCAGAUGGCGACGAUGGUGGUGACCGGAAUGACGAGUACUUACAUCAUAUAGUCAGCACUUUUCCUCUCAGAGGUGACAACUAGAUCUUUGUUGCUGUGAAUGCGUCAACUUGCUUCAGCAAAUAAUAUUUAUGAAGGCAGCGACUUCUUUUGUGAUGGCUCCUGAGCUAGAAUUGUAGCUUCUGUCAGAGACUCAAGUUGCCAGGGCCAAGACUGCAGAUGUUAGAAUUGAACUUUCCCAUCUUCAUGUGCUGGAAAAGAAUUUUUGCAGUUCAUGAAUGCAAAGCCCUGUAGGUAGUUUGCAAAGGCUGAGACUAGUCCAUGCAAACUAUUCACAUCUGACAUUUAUUUUUCAAAGAAAUAAUAAGACCGGCAAGCUUCCUGACAAGUUGAUUCAUAAUCAAAUUAUGCAUCCCUAUAGAAUAACAAUCUCAGAUGUCGAGUGUCUGCAGUGAUCCCUGUAAGUUGAAACAUCAAACAGGAAGGUGGUCUCCCGCCUCCACAAUUCUUUUCUUAUCAAUAAGUGCCUACCCAACUCUUCAACUACAUGCGCUUUGGUUGCAUCUUUUUGAGACCAGCAUUGCACAUCUUUUUUUUUAGUACCCUCAGUUGUGUGCUCGCUCUGUCCUCUUUUUCCUGCAGAAUUGCAAUUGUUUCAUCUAGUUCAGCCACGGCAGGGUCUUCAGAUGCUUCCACUAUCCCAGCAACCUGUAUUUGGUACUAGCAAGUUUUCUGUUAAUUAUUACUUAUUGUGGAGGAUGAGUCUAUCUAUAUGAUGUUAAAAAGGAGCAAGGCUAUUCACCACAGCAAAUGGCGCUGGCAGCAUCUUGUAUCCAUUAGAUGGAUAAAGUCUAUUUGGUAAGAGAGCACUUCUGGGAUGAAAAUGCACCGUGGGUCAAACGCAUUUGAUAUGAGUAAUCGAUGGGCAAGGGCUUACAUUGCAGUCAUAAGCACCCAGAUUCAGGUCCCUUGUCUUCUUGUAAAGGUCACAGUAGUACUCACUGGUAUCAUUUUAUCGAAGCGUAAAGUGUGAGUUGAUGGAAGUUAAUGGGAACCUUUUACUGUAGUGGAAGGCAAUCUGUGAUGAUUAAGAUUGCAAUGCAGACAACUGUAAAAUUCGAACCUGCAAAGUUUACAGCAGAGCAUCGACACUCUUCAUGACAUGUCAACAGUGCUCCAUCCUGAUAUGAGAAGAAGGUAGGAUGUGCAGGUGAACAGGUUGUUGCAUAACUGAGGGCAAUUCAGCACAUGAUUUAUGGAGCAGGAAAGAGCACCUUUGCUCCAGCCAGCGAUAGGCUAAACAUUUGAUGCAUUCAUCAGAAGCCUUGCACGGACCAGCCUUCAUAUGACAGUUCCAGCCGCAGAGGGUGAUCGUGCAGUGCAGAAAGAAGGGGCAACCAAGACAACCAUGGACCUUUGCACCUGAUUCUGUUUUAGAGCUUUGUGUGGAAGACCAGUGGAUGCUGACGGUCGAAAUGGUAGAGAACCGAGUCCUUAGUGCCUCCAGAUCUUGCGAACAUAGAGAUAAAGCCAUGCAUGCAAUCCAUGUCGAGGCUGAAUUUGCAUUUUUUGCAAUCAGAAACCAUCAUAAGCAACUAAAGACACAUUUGGUAACGUUGCUGUUCUAGGAAACA